rnacentral:rRNA from 1 species
CCUACGGGAGGCAGCAGUAGGGAAUCUUCCACAAUGGGCGAAAGCCUGAUGGAGCAACGCCGCGUGGGUGAAGAAGGUCUUCGGAUCGUAAAACCCUGUUGUUAGAGAAGAAAGUGCGUGAGCGUAACUGUUCACGUUUCGACGGUAUCUAACCGGAAAGCCACGGCUAACUACGUGCCAGCAGCCGCGGUAGUACGUAGGUGGCAAGCGUUAUCCGGAUUUAUUGGGCGUAAAGGGAACGCAGGCGGUCUUUUAAGUCUGAUGUGAAAGCCUUCGGCUUAACCGGUGUAGUGCAUUGGAAACUGGGAGACUGGAGGGCAGAAGAGGAGAGGGGAACUCCAGGUGUAGCGGGGAAAUGCGUAGAUAUAUGGAAGAACACCAGUGGCGAAAGCGGCUCUCUGGUCUGUAACUGACGCUGAGGUUCGAAAGCGUGGGUAGCAAACAGGAUUAGAUACCCUGGUAGUC